AUGUCAAUAUUACGUUGAAAACCACCGUUCCCGUACGAUCACUGAAGUUAAGCAACGUCGAGCUUGGUAAGUACCUAAAUGAGUGACCGUUUGGGAAUACCAGCUGCUGUAA